CCUCCGGUCCCAUCUGAGUUGCAAGUGGUGGGGAUGUGGGGCUCCGGAUCAAAGUCCCCGAAACCGAGCACUUCCCGAAGCCUCCUUGGCCUCGAAACAAAACAAUAACGCCCAACUCCAUCAUAUUCCAGAACUCCCACCACCUGCAUACAGACAUUCAGCUGCACAAGCCCCCUCCAUGCUACAGUCAACAGGAUCUCCAGGCCACGGCUCAAGCCCAGGUACUCACAUCAGUGGUUCUAUCAACACUCAGGACAGACCCAUAGAAGAGGCCCAAGCAGGCCCUGGAAGUGCAUGUGGAGGCCACCAGGCAAGGAAUUCUGGAGUCCCAGAUCAUAUCUGGGUGUCCAUCAGCAUGUUACUUCACAUCUCUGUACCUCAGUUUAUUCAUCUUUCAAAUGGAAGCAACAUAUAGAGCUGCCUUAUAGAGUUGCUCUGGGUAUUAGAUGUAUAAUAUAUGUGAACUGCUUGGUACUGGGCCUGGUAUAUGGUAUGUGCUCAAUAAAUGAUAGUUGUUUAUUAUUGUCAUUUAUUAUCAUCAUCAUCAUCAUCAUAAUUAAAUAUUAUUCCAAGCAACAAUGUGUUCCUCAUAGUCCAACAAUAAUUUAAUAAAUGUAACCUUUCCAAAACUCCGAUCUGCAAAUUUUAAAUAAAUAUUUUCAAUUAAAUUAAUCAGU
rnacentral:lncRNA from 1 species